GAGUUUGAUCAUGGCUCAGGACGAACGCUGGCGGCGUGCCUAAUACAUGCAAGUAGAACGCUGAAGAGAGGAGCUUGCUCUUCUUGGAUGAGUUGCGAACGGGUGAGUAACGCGUAGGUAACCUGCCUUGUAGCGGGGGAUAACUAUUGGAAACGAUAGCUAAUACCGCAUAACAAUAGGUGACACAUGUCAUUUAUUUGAAAGGGGCAAUUGCUCCACUACAAGAUGGACCUGCGUUGUAUUAGCUAGUAGGUGAGGUAACGGCUCACCUAGGCGACGAUACAUAGCCGACCUGAGAGGGUGAUCGGCCACACUGGGACUGAGACACGGCCCAGACUCCUACGGGAGGCAGCAGUAGGGAAUCUUCGGCAAUGGGGGCAACCCUGACCGAGCAACGCCGCGUGAGUGAAGAAGGUUUUCGGAUCGUAAAGCUCUGUUGUAAGUCAAGAACGAGUGUGAGAGUGGAAAGUUCACACUGUGACGGUAGCUUACCAGAAAGGGACGGCUAACUACGUGCCAGCAGCCGCGGUAAUACGUAGGUCCCGAGCGUUGUCCGGAUUUAUUGGGCGUAAAGCGAGCGCAGGCGGUUUGAUAAGUCUGAAGUUAAAGGCUGUGGCUCAACCAUAGUUCGCUUUGGAAACUGUCAAACUUGAGUGCAGAAGGGGAGAGUGGAAUUCCAUGUGUAGCGGUGAAAUGCGUAGAUAUAUGGAGGAACACCGGUGGCGAAAGCGGCUCUCUGGUCUGUAACUGACGCUGAGGCUCGAAAGCGUGGGGAGCGAACAGGAUUAGAUACCCUGGUAGUCCACGCCGUAAACGAUGAGUGCUAGGUGUUGGAUCCUUUCCGGGAUUCAGUGCCGCAGCUAACGCAUUAAGCACUCCGCCUGGGGAGUACGACCGCAAGGUUGAAACUCAAGGGAAUUGACGGGGGCCCGCACAAGCGGUGGAGCAUGUGGUUUAAUUCGAAGCAACGCGAAGAACCUUACCAGGUCUUGACAUCCCGAUGCUAUUUCUAGAGAUAGAAAGUUACUUCGGUACAUCGGUGACAGGUGGUGCAUGGUUGUCGUCAGCUCGUGUCGUGAGAUGUUGGGUUAAGUCCCGCAACGAGCGCAACCCCUAUUGUUAGUUGCCAUCAUUCAGUUGGGCACUCUAGCGAGACUGCCGGUAAUAAACCGGAGGAAGGUGGGGAUGACGUCAAAUCAUCAUGCCCCUUAUGACCUGGGCUACACACGUGCUACAAUGGUUGGUACAACGAGUUGCGAGUCGGUGACGGCAAGCUGAUCUCUUAAAGCCAAUCUCAGUUCGGAUUGUAGGCUGCAACUCGCCUACAUGAAGUCGGAGUCGCUAGUAAUCGCGGAUCAGCACGCCGCGGUGAAUACGUUCCCGGGCCUUGUACACACCGCCCGUC
rnacentral:rRNA from 1 species